rnacentral:tRNA from 1 species
AAUAAAGCCGGAAUAGCUCAGUUGGUAGAGCAGAGGACUGAAA